rnacentral:rRNA from 1 species
UACGGAGGAUGCGAGCGUUAUCCGGAUUAUUGGGUUAAAGGGUGCGUAGGUUGUUUAUAAGUUAGCGGUGAAAUACCGAUGCUCAACAUCGGGCUGCCGCUGAUACUGUAGGACUAGAGAUCGGAUGCAGCAGGCGGAAUGUGUAGUGUAGCGGUGAAAUGCAUAGAUAUUACACAGAACACCGAUUGCGAAGGCAGCUUGCUAGGCCGGAUCUGACACUGAUGCACGAAAGCGUGGGAUCGAACAGG